UUGCUCACACCGAGUUCUGGAGAACGCCAUCAGCUAGCUGCUUAAAAUUAAACCACAGGUUCCAUUAUGGGUCGACUUGAUGGGAAAGUCAUCAUCCUGACGGCCGCUGCUCAGGGGAUUGGCCAAGCAGCUGCCUUAGCUUUUGCAAGAGAAGGUGCCAAAGUCAUAGCCACAGACAUUAAUGAGUCCAAACUUCAGGAACUGGAAAAGUACCCGGGUAUUCAAACUCGUGUCCUUGAUGUCACAAAGAAGAAACAAAUUGAUCAGUUCGCCAAUGAAGUUGAGAGACUUGAUGUUCUCUUUAAUGUUGCUGGUUUUGUCCAUCAUGGAACUGUCCUGGAUUGUGAGGAGAAAGACUGGGACUUCUCGAUGAAUCUCAAUGUGCGCAGCAUGUACCUGAUGAUCAAGGCAUUCCUUCCUAAAAUGCUUGCUCAGAAAUCUGGCAAUAUUAUCAACAUGUCUUCUGUGGCUUCCAGCGUCAAAGGUGGGUCUGUCUCCUUCUGAGGACUGCGAUGCUCAUACAUGCACAUCAUUAAGAGCUCUGCGUUUGGGAACAGGCAUAGCAGAGAUCAUAAUUUCAAGUAUUGAAAUGAUUUCAAAACUGCUUUUUUCAAAAUUGGUAUUAAGUUCCUUAACCACAGAUCUUUUGCUCUAGAUGUGAGCCAGUGGUAAAAUUAAAUUAAAAUGUGGGGUAUUUUUGCCGUCCCUUUUAUUCUUUCUAAUGGACAUGGAAAUGAACAUCAAACUGGGAGAAAGAAUCAUUUAACAUUUAAUUAAUUUAAAACAGUGUAUUGAGCACCAGUAUGUGCUCUGCCUAUAACAGAAUUCACAGUCCAAAACUAGGAGCAAGGCAGCAAACAUCAUCUUCUCCAGUGUGAUGAUAUAUAACAAAGGUUUGUACAAAGCGCUGUCAAAAUACAGGGAAAUAACUGCCUGUGAGUUUGUGGAAUGCUUCACAAAGACAGUUGAUCUGAGCCAUCAGUGAGAAGUCAAGGUGAAGGACAAGGACAGCAGUGUAAAAUGUGGAUUAUGUCACAAUCUGGCAUAGUUGGAUCUGUGAGUUUAAAACGAAAUAGUUACUGCUGAGAUAACAUUUCUUCUCUUUGCAAGAAUACACAUAUUCAACAUACACAAGAGAGGAAUGUAAAGAAGUGCCUAGGCCUCCUGUUUUAUUGUUUUGUUUUGUUAUUAAUCUUCAUUUUCUUUUGGAAUCUGCCUAAGAGUUAUGGCAACUGAUGAUGAGAAACUAAGACUACCAGUGUUAAGUAAGUUCAGCAUUUCAAUUAAGUCUCAAUUAAGUUGUGCCUAUACUGAUAUUAUUUCCCUAGAUCCAGAAACUGACUCUAUUGAAGGAAAAAAAUCUGAUACCAAUCUUUUCAAAAGGGGAGGAAUGUGAGAGAAAGCAUGAAAAUGGACACUGGAAAAACUUAUUUGUGUUACCUUUCUGAAGGAAAAUACAUUUUUUAUUCCUUCAAUUGUUGAACCUUUCCUCCACCCUCAGGAGUUGUGAACAGAUGUGUGUACAGCACAACCAAGGCAGCUGUGAUUGGCCUCACAAAAUCUGUGGCUGCAGAUUUCAUCCAGCAGGGCAUCAGGUGCAACUGUGUGUGCCCAGGAACGGUUGAUACGCCAUCUCUACAAGAAAGAAUACAAGCCAGAGGAAAUCCUGAAGAGGCACGGAAUGAUUUCCUGAAGAGGCAAAAGACGGGAAGAUUCGCAACUGCAGAAGAAAUAGCCAUGCUCUGCGUGUAUUUGGCUUCUGAUGAAUCUGCUUAUGUAACUGGUAACCCUGUCAUCAUUGAUGGAGGCUGGAGCUUGUGAUUUUAGGAUCUCCAUGGUGGGAAGGAAAGCAGGCCCUUCCUAUCCACAGUGAACCUGGUUAUGAAGAACACUCACCAAUCAUCUCCUUCCUGUUAAUCACAUGUUAAUGAAAAUAAGCCCUUUUUAAUGAUGUCACUGUUUGCAAGAGUCUGAUUCUUUAAGUAUAUUAAUCUCUUUGUAAUCUCUUCUGAAAUCAUUGUAAAGAAAUAAAAAUAUUGAACUCAU
rnacentral:sRNA from 1 species